UUGCCCACACAUGGGAUCAAUAGGAUACCAUAACGAUGAAGGUCGUAAUAGAAUACGAAAGAGUAUUUACCGAAUUAAUACAUUAUUGUAUUGAUAACCCUUUGAACUUAAGCAUAUCAUUAAAAGGAGGAAAAGAAACUAAACUAGGAUUUCUUUAGUAGCGGCGAGUGAACCAAGAAAGAACCCUUGAUUGUAAUCCUUAAUUGGAGAUGUAAAUCAUUUAUUCUAUUAUUUAUAUCAUAGAGAAUAUUAAUUCGUUAUUUGAUAGGAUAGAAUAAUUUCUUUGAGUAGGGCUGCUUGGUAGUGCAGUUUGAAUAUAGGUAGAAUGGGAUAUCUAAGGUUAAAUAUAAUGGUAUACCGAUAGCAAAUAAGUACUGCGAAGGAAUUUGUGAAAAUGUGUGGGUGUUAGCCUUAUUUUUAAGGACCCGUCUUGAAACACGGACCAAGGAGAUUAUAAUUAUAGCGAGAUAAAGUAUAUAAUCGUUAUUAAUUUGAUAAGUUAUAAUUAUAAGACCCGAAACACAGUGAACUAUACAUGUUCUGGUUGAAGAUAAGCAACAGUUUAUUGGAAGACCAUAAUCAUUCUGACGUGCAAAUCGAUGAUUUAAGAUGUGUAUAGUGGCGAAAGACCAAUCGAACUGUGUGGUAGCUGGUUCACAGC
rnacentral:rRNA from 1 species